UACGAAGGGGGCUAGCGUUGCUCGGAAUCACUGGGCGUAAAGGGUGCGUAGGCGGGUCUUUUAAGUCAGGGGUGAAAUCCUGGAGCUCAACUCCAGAACUGCCUUUGAUACUGGGAGGCUCGAGUCCGGGAGAGGUGAGUGGAACUGCGAGUGUAGAGGUGAAAUUCGUAGAUAUUCGCAAGAACACCAGUGGCGAAGGCGGGUCUCUGGGCCGAUACUGACGCUGAGGAGCGAAAGCGUGGGGAGCAAACAGGG
rnacentral:rRNA from 1 species